GCCCGCUUAGCUCAGUGGUAGAGCGCGUCACUCGUAAAGGUUUCAAUCACGUGAUCUGCAUAUGACGAGGCCUUGGGUUCAACUCCCAAAGUGGGCA